rnacentral:rRNA from 1 species
CUACGGGAGGCAGCAGUGGGGAAUAUUGCACAAUGGAGGAAACUCUGAUGCAGCGACGCCGCAUGAGCGAUGAAGGUUUUCGAAUCGUAAAGCUCUGUCCUAAGGGACGAUAAUGACGGUACCUUAGGAGGAAGCCCCGGCUAACUACGUGCCAGCAGCCGCGGUAAUACGUAGGGGGGCGAGCGUUGUCCGGAUUUAUUGGGCGUAAAGGGUGCGUAGGCGGCCUUGUAAGUCAGAUGUGAAAUCUCACGGCUUAACCGUGGUAAGCAUUUGAAACUGUGAGGCUUGAGUACAGGAGAGGGGAGUGGAAUUCCUAGUGUAGCGGUGAAAUGCGUAGAUAUUAGGAGGAAUACCAGUGGCGAAGGCGACUCUCUGGACUGUAACUGACGCUGAGGCACGAAAGCGUGGGGAGCAAACAGGAUUAGAAACCCCGGUAGUCC